rnacentral:rRNA from 1 species
UACGAAGGGGGCUAGCGUUGUUCGGAAUUACUGGGCGUAAAGCGCGCGCAGGCGGUCCUUUAAGUCGGGGGUGAAAGCCCAGAGCUCAACUCUGGAACUGCCUUCGAAACUAGAGGACUUAGGUACGGGAGAGGUGAGUGGAAUUCCGAGUGUAGAGGUGAAAUUCGUAGAUAUUCGGAAGAACACCAGUGGCGAAGGCGGCUCACUGGCCCGUUACCGACGCUGAGGCACGAAGGCGUGGGGAGCAAACAGG